rnacentral:lncRNA from 1 species
AAUAAAAAAAAUUAAAAUUUUGAAAAUUCAUAUACCACUUAAAUGCCAAAAAAAAAAAAAAAGCAAAAUAGUUCAUCAAUACGAACAAAAAUGCAUAGACAUUGCUAAGUAAAGCCUACUUUGAAAUUCUAUAUCCCUUACUGAAAAAAAAAAGUAUAUAAAAAAAGUGAUGGUGAAAUUUAAUAAAUCUUGGCUACAGAAAGUAUUGAGAGUUAGUUGUGUGCAUGUUCAAGUACCGUAGGUAUGCAAAUACAGAGAGGAUCCUCUUGCUUUCUGUCUACAAGACAAGAGAUUGAGAUAGAAAGAUGAGAAGAGCAACAAACCAUGAGCUUAAAUAUUUUUUUCCGCCCUCUAGUUUUAUAGGGAGGGAUUUUUCCUCUGAAUCUUUUCUGGUUUUUGGAACUUAGUCACCUCCCCUAUGGCCCAGGAAGCGGUAGCUUCUUCCUCAUCGCCCAGAGUGUGGGUAUCCUCCCCACUUCUCAGCGGUUGUUUUUAUUUCUUGCUUUUCUUAGUAUGCGAAUAGCAGAUCCGGCAGUGAAUGGGCAAGGGAUCUAUAGAUUCCCUGUGUUCCUUUUCUUGUCUUGGAUGUUUAGUUGGUCUUGCAUGCAGGUUCCUUUGCCUCUAUGGUUCCAGAUCUGAUUUCUUAGCUAUCCUUGCUUCGGGAGGUCGGAGAUGCUUUUAUUCCAGGGACGCGCAAUGCCCCUCUGGUGGGUCUUCUGUCUUGUCCUUGUCGAAGUUCGUUAAGUGUGUUGUGCUGUUGUUGAUGCCUUUGAUCUGAUCUUGCCAUCAUCAGUGCCAUGAGUGUUUGGUUGCUAUCCCUCUAGUUCUCUUAAAGUUGCUUCUUUUGGUGGUUUGAGAUUGUUGGAGAAUAGUUUUUGGUCAUGGAUAAUGGUUUCUCUAGGCUGCUUCAGCGUUGACGAAGUUUCUUGAGUGGUGCUGAAGAUGUGAGCUUGUGGGAUCCUUCAUCCUUUCUGGAUUAAGCGGCUUCUUCGGGUUAGCUCUGUUAAGACUUGUUUGUUUGGGCUUUGAGCCUUUUAUGAAGGAGGGUUGGGCUUGUUCUUGGUUAUGUUUUUUUCAUUGGUCUAUAUGUUUUAGUUUGUUUAUUUUUGAACUUGAUGUAAUGGGUUUUAACAUUUUUCUAAUAGAACUUUCUAAUAUUUAAAAAAUAUAUAUAUUUUUAUCAUAA